AGAACGAACGCUGGCGGCAUGCCUAACACAUGCAAGUCGAACGAACCCUUCGGGGUUAGUGGCGCACGGGUGCGUAACGCGUGGGAAUCUGCCCUUUGCUUCGGAAUAACUCAGGGAAACUUGUGCUAAUACCGGAUGAUGUCGAAAGACCAAAGAUUUAUCGGCAAGGGAUGAGCCCGCGUAGGAUUAGGUAGUUGGUGGGGUAAAGGCCUACCAAGCCGACGAUCCUUAGCUGGUCUGAGAGGACGAUCAGCCACACUGGGACUGAGACACGGCCCAGACUCCUACGGGAGGCAGCAGUGGGGAAUAUUGGACAAUGGGCGAAAGCCUAAUCCAGCAAUGCCGCGUGAGUGAUGAAGGCCUUAGGGUCGUAAAGCUCUUUACCAGGAUGAUAAUGACAGUACCUGGAGAAUAAGCUCCGGCUAACUCCGUGCCACAGCCGC
rnacentral:rRNA from 1 species